AAUCGAACCCGGAGAUAGCUGGUUCUCCUCGAAAUAGCUUUAGGGCUAGCCUCAUGGAUCAUUGAUGGGGGUAGAGCACUGAAUGUGCGCGGGGGCCACAAAGCCUACCAAACGCUAUCAAACUUCGAAUACCAUACAAUGCAGACCAUGGGAGUCAGUCCGCGAGAGAUAAGUUCCGCGGGCAAAAGGGGAACACCCCAGAUCAACCGCUAAGGUCCCCAAGUUCACGUUAAGUGGAGAAGGAUGUGGAAUUGCACAGACAACCAGGAUGUUGGCUCAGAAGCAGCCACACAUUUAAAGAGUGCGUAAUAGCUCACUGGUCGAGUGAUUGUGCGCCGAAGAUGUCCGGGGCUAAACGUGACACCGAAGCGAUGGGUGCAUCUGAAGAAGAUGCGCGGUAGAGGAGCAAUGUGCAGAGGCAGAAGCCGUAUCGAGAGGCACGGUGGACACUGCACAAGAGAGAAUGCCGGUAUGAGUAGCGAGAGGCAUGCGAGAAACAUGCCCGUCGAAAGCCCAAGGUUUCCUGGGGAAGGUUCAUCCGCCCAGGGUAAGUCGGGGCCUAAGCCGAGGACGGAAGUCGUAGGCGAUGGACAGCAGGUGUAGAUUCCUGCACUACCGAUGGAAUGAAGCAGUGACACAGAAGGAUAACUCGAGCAGGGUGAUGGUCAACCCUGUGCAAGCAUCAAGGUUGGGUUGUAGUGAAGUACGCAACCCUAUAAGCUGAGAUGUGAUGCGGACCGAAAUUUCAGUAGGGAAGCGAGUGAGUUCACGCUGGCGAGAAAAGCUGCUAGUACAUCCAAAGGUACCCGUACCGGAAACCGACGCAGGUGGGCGAGGAGAGAAUCCUGAGACGAACGGGAGAACCCUUGUUAAGGAACUCGGCAAAAUGACCCCGUAACUUCGGGAUAAGGGGUGCCUGCGAGAGCAGGCCGCAGAGAAUAGUCACAAGCGACUGUUUAGCAAAAACACAGGUAUCUGCGAAAGCGAGAGCUGACGUAUAGGUGCUGACACCUGCCCGGUGCUGGAAGGUUAAGGGAACAUGUUAGAGCAAUCGAAGCAUCGAACCGAAGCCCCAGUAAACGGCGGCCGUAACUAUAACGGUCCUAAGGUAGCGAAAUUCCUUGUCGGGUAAGUUCCGACCCGCACGAAUGGUGUAACGACUUGUGAGCUGUCUCAACAGGGGGCCCGGUGAAAUUGAAGUAUGGGUGAAGAUGCCCAUUACCCGCGACUGGACGGAGAGACCCCGUAGAGCUUUACUGCAGCCUGAUAUUGAGUUUCGGUAACUGAUGCACAGGAUAGGUGGGAGUCUGAGAGACAUGGGUUUCGGCUCAUGUGGAGACGGUGUUGGGAUACCACUCUUCGGUUACUGAAAUUCUAACAUAGCUCUGUGAAACCAGAGGAUGGACAGUGUCAGGUGGACAGUUUGACUGGGGCGGUCGCCUCCGAAAGAGUAACGGAGGCGCCCAAAGGUACCCUCAGAAUGGAUGGAAACCAUUCGAAGAGCGCAAAGGCAGAAGGGUGCCUGACUGCGAGAGUGACAACUCGAGCAGAGACGAAAGUCGGGCUUAGUGAUCCGGCGGUAUUGAGUGGAAAAGCCGUCGCUUAACGGAUAAAAGCUACCUCGGGGAUAACAGGCUGAUCUCCCCCAAGAGUCCACAUCGACGGGGAGGUUUGGCACCUCGAUGUCGGCUCAUCGCAUCCUGGGGCUGUAUUCGGUCCCAAGGGUUUGGCUGUUCGCCAAUUAAAGCGGCACGCGAGCUGGGUUCAGAACGUCGUGAGACAGUUCGGUCCCUAUCCAUCGUGGGCGUAGGAGUCAUGAGAGGAGCUGUUCCUAGUACGAGAGGACCGGAAUGGACGCACCACUGGUGCAACUGUUGUCGUGCCAACGGCAUAGCAGGGAAGCGAAGUGCGGACGGGAUAAACGCUGAAGGCAUCUAAGCGUGAAGCCCACCUCAAGAAUAAGACUCCACAAUAGACCCCUGGAGGACUACCAGGUAGAUAGGUCAUCGGUGGAAGCGCCGUAAGGUGU
rnacentral:rRNA from 1 species